rnacentral:rRNA from 1 species
AACGAACGCUGGCGGCAUGCCUAAUACAUGCAAGUCGAACGAGAUCUUCGGAUCUAGUGGCGCACGGGUGCGUAACGCGUGGGAAUCUGCCCUUGGGUUCGGAAUAACGUCGGGAAACUGACGCUAAUACCGGAUGAUGACGUAAGUCCAAAGAUUUAUCGCCCAAGGAUGAGCCCGCGUAGGAUUAGCUAGUUGGUGAGGUAAAGGCUCACCAAGGCGACGAUCCUUAGCUGGUCUGAGAGGAUGAUCAGCCACACUGGGACUGAGACACGGCCCAGACUCCUACGGGAGGCAGCAGUAGGGAAUAUUGGACAAUGGGCGCAAGCCUGAUCCAGCAAUGCCGCGUGAGUGAUGAAGGCCUUAGGGUUGUAAAGCUCUUUUACCCGGGAUGAUAAUGACAGUACCGGGAGAAUAAGCCCCGGCUAACUCCGUGCCAGCCGCCGCCGUAAGAC